CCAGCGAUAAACCUGGGAGGAAGGUGGGGAUGACGUCAAAUCAUCAUGCCCCUUAUGACCUGGGCUACAAACGUCAUACAAUGGCUGGAAACAAAGAGAAGCGAAGCAGUGAUGUGGAGCAAAACUCAUAAAAGCAGUCUCAGUUCAGAUUGUAGUCUGCAACUCGACUACAUGAAGUCGGAAUCGCUAGUAAUCGCAGAUCAGCAUGCUGCGGUGAAUACGUUCUCGGGGUUU
rnacentral:rRNA from 1 species